AAACUCCAAAUAUUGACAACUGUUCCUAAUGUCCUCUUAGUAAGACUUAAAUCCUUGCAGGCAUGCCCAGUAUUUUUCCUUGAUCAACAAAUGCAGUCAGUUCUGGAACAAUUUUCCCUUCACUUGGGGCUUUUUCUGAGAGGCAAGACUUGGAAGUACUGUUACAGAAAUCUAUGGAACCAAAAGGGAGAGCAAAGUUUGGUGACACAAGGUUGCCUCUGAUGGUCCUUUUUGUCUGCAUCCCACCUGACUACACACCUGUGGCUCUGUUCAGAUGGCCAGGUACCACCUCACCACACUGGCCUCUUAUUGACGUUUAUAGCAACUUUAUUUCCACAACAGCCCAGGACUUCUGCCACUUUUCACUGUAUUCAUCAUUGUGCCUCAUCUCUGGCUUGGAAUUUUCCCAAAUCAAUGAGUACUGUGAACAAGGAGAGAAUGCAACCGUUUCACGAAAAGGGGACGUAUUAGCCUUGUGGAUCUUGGAAUUCAGCAUAAAACAAAAAUUUCCAUUAGACAAAUGUACACAAUGAUAAAUUAUUAAGCAAAACCUUGAGUGGUAAUUUACGCAUUUCUGUAACUAUGUCCCCAGCAUAUUGACAUUGACCAAGAAGUGCAGGAAUGCUUAAGAAUCAAUGGAAAUUUUGCUGAGUACGAAAGGCAGGCUUCGCCAAUUAAGCCCAUUGUGAUGUCCCGUCAGUAUCUGAUCACUAUAAAAGUUUUAGCAUGAAUUUGGCCAUAAUGUCAGGAAGUACUGUGGGCCCAGAAAAAGGAGUCGCAAAUUCAUGGUGGAAAGAGCUUUUCUAUUUUAAUACUCAUCACUAAGACGCCCUCACCAACUAAAAGGAUGCAUUAUAUGCAUUAGUUAUUGUAUUUAGAGAUUUUAAAAUCUAUAUUUGCUCUAGCGUUGGUAAGGCAAUAUGCAGGCAGAUAGGGGCAGACACUUUUUACUUUUUUUUUUUUGAGUUGGAGUCUUGCUCUGUCGCAAGGCUGGAGUGCAAUGGUGCGAUCUUGGCUCACUGCAACCUCUGCUUCCUGGAUUCAAGUGGUUCUUCUGCCUCAGCCUCCCAUGUAGCUGGGACUACAGGCGCCACCAACAGGUCCAGCUAAUUUUUGUUAAUUUAGUAGAGACAGGGUUUCACCAUGUUGGCCAGGCUGGUCUUGAACUCCUGACCUCAGGUGAUCCACCUGCCUCAGCCUCCCAAAGCGCUGGGAUUACAGGCAUGAGCCACUGUGCCCGGCCUCUGCCCCUUUUUUCUACAACAGGGGGCAGAGAGAUAGAACCCUGGUUUUCUGGUUUCCUUGCAGGCAGGAGCAGCAAAACAGACACAUUCUGGCCAGAGACAAAGGAAACGAAGGAGACAAGGAGACAAAGGUCUACUGAGAAGGCUGAAAAGUGAAAUAGUGGAGGUUCUGGAAGGCUUUUCCUUCCUUCCUUCCUUCCUUCCUUCCUUCCUUCCUUCCUUCCUCUCUCUCUUUCUUUCUCUCUUUUUUUUUUUCAGGAAGUCUUUGUUUUUUUUUGCCCUCCUCAUAACUUCCUAGAAAGCACAUGUGGGCUGGGUGCAGGGGUUCACGCCUGCAAUCCCUAUGCUUUGGGAGGCUGAGGCAGGAGGAUCGCUUGAGCCCAGGAGUCUGAGACCAGCCUGGGCAACAUAGCAAGACCCCAUCUCUACAAAGAAAAAAAAAUAGGCAGGUGUGGUGGCAAGCACCUGUAGUCACAGCUACUUGGAAAGAUGAGGCAGGAAGAUUGCUUGAGUUCAGGAGUUCGAGGCUGCAGUGAGCUGUGAUUGUGCUGCUGUACUGCAUCCUGGGCAACAGAACGAGACUAUGUCAGAAAGAAAGAAAGAGAGAAAGAGAGAGAGAGGAAGGAAGGAAGGAAGAAAAGAGAAGGGAAGGGAAGGGAAAGGAAAGGAAAGGGAGGAAGGAAGGGAAAGAAGAAGCAAGGAAGAAAGAGAGAAAGAAAGGAAAGAAAGAAAAGGAAGAAAAGCGAGGAAGGAAUGAAGGAAGGGAGGGAGGGAGGAAGGGAGAGAGAAAAAAGGAAGGAAGGAGAGGGAAUGAAAGGAAAGAAAAAGAAAGAAAGCCUGGGCACAGUGGCUCAGGCCUGUAAUCUCAGCACUUUGGGAGGCCGAGGUGGGCGGAUCACGAGGUCAAGAGAUCAAGACCAUCCUGGCCAACCCCGUCUCUACUAAAAAUACAAAAAUUAGCUGGGUGUGG
rnacentral:lncRNA from 10 species